rnacentral:lncRNA from 1 species
AGGUAUUAAUUUAUUUAAUACAAACCUGACUAAAGAAGUAUUGAAUAAAGAAAGAACUUAUAAAAAGAAUAUGUCAGCAGAUGAGUGUGUGUAUUGUUGUGUCUGUGAAAACUAAACAAAAGGCAAUAUUGGUAAAUGGCAUAUUCCAUCGGAUGAUCCAAAAUGCCAAGCAUAUUCACGUAAGACUCCCCUCGUUUCCAUCAUCAUCUGCUUCCCACUUAUUUAUUUCUUUUUCUUUAAUUUACUUUCUUCGAUCGAUCAUGCUGCUCUCUCUUUACACUAAUAGUUUUAUUUUAUUCCCCUUUACUACACCAAUAUUUCCCCUUCUUUUCAUUGUUUUUCUUUUAUUCCAACAGUCAAACCUGGUAGAAAAAUAAAAUAAAAGAAUGUAUAUCAUAAGACAUGCAAGAUAAAUACGUGUAUAAUAUAUGAUCCCAAAGGAUAACAACAUAUACGAUUUGUUCACAGAACACAAGAGAUUAAUCAUUUUUAUAAAAUAUAUCAUUUAUAAAGAACGCUAACAAACGUGAAUUACAUUGGUUGAUUGUUACGAAAAGUUAAGUUAUUUUAUUAAAAAGAAAUGAGAGAAAAGGUGGAAAGAACACUAUAUUGCUUAUGUAAUAUUGGGGGUUUAGGUGUAUCUUUUUUUUUUUAAAUGUCUUCAUGACCAUAGACAAACUAAUUAAAAAAAGAAAACGCAAGAAAUGAAAAGUGAAAUAUAUAAAAGCUAUAAAACCCCCCUACGAAGCCUCCAUUGUUGAACCCUCUCUCGCUCUCUCUCUUAAUUUGGCACAACAACACAAAACAGAAGAAAAUUAAAUAUAUGGCCAUCCCUCUGGCUCUAAUUAUGUAGAUGUUUAUUCAUCUCUAGCUAGGGGGAUGGCCUAAUUUAACACCAAAAUGAAUUGAAAGUGUUCAUGUAAGCAAAAUGUUUUGAUCACGUUUUACAAGAUAUGGAGCAAUGAAGAUUGCAGAAGGCUGAUGAUGAAGAGACAUAGCUGAUUCAGACAGCUAGUUUUGUUUAUCUCCCUCUAGAAAUUGGGCAACUUCUAUCCUUUGGCAAGCUUCGGUUCCCCUCGGAAUCAGCAGAUUAUGUAUCUCUCUAGUACUCUCUCUAGUUAUGUUAUACUCUCUCUAUCUCUCUUUCUCUCUUCUCUAUGUUUUUGUUUAUGAUCUUCAUUAUGUUUGUGUUGUAUCCACUCCACUCCCGUAGUAUGUUCUGUGUGUGAGGAAUAAAAGGAAUAUCCGAAUUUGAGAUAUAAUAUUGGAUGGUAGUUUUGUUUUAUUCGAUAUUUUAUAUAUACAUAAUAUCAUUCUUUUAGUAUAUAAAUGAUUUUGAAUCAUAGC